CCUACGGGUGGCAGCAGUGGGGAAUAUUGCACAAUGGGGGAAACCCUGAUGCAGCGACGCCGCGUGAGUGAAGAAGUAUUUCGGUAUGUAAAGCUCUAUCAGCAGGGAAGAAAAUAACGGUACCUGAUUAAUAAGCCCCGGCUAACUACGUGCCAGCAGCCGCGGUAAUACGUCGGGGGCAAGCGUUAUCCGGAUUUACUGGGUGUAAAGGGGGCGUAGACGGCAGCACAAGUCUGGAGUGAAAUGCCUGGGCUUAACCCCGGGACUGCUUUGGAAACUGUGAAGCUAGAGUGCAGGAGAGGUAAGUGGAAUUCCUAGUGUAGCGGUGAAAUGCGUAGAUAUUAGGAGGAACACCAGUGGCGAAGGCGGCUUACUGGACUGUAACUGACGUUGAGGCUCGAAAGCGUGGGGAGCAAACAGGAUUAGAUACCCUAGUAGUC
rnacentral:rRNA from 1 species